rnacentral:lncRNA from 1 species
GGAAGAUAGAUGAGAAUGGGAACCUUUCCUUAGGAAAAGUUCGAAACUCUUAAGAAAACCUUUCAAUAAUUAAAAAGAAUUGCUUUCAGACUAAGUUAUUUAGGGAGUGUGAGAAUUAAUCAGAAAAGCUUCAGAAUAACCCAAGCAAAUUAUGGUUGAUUUGAGUCAGAAACGAAUUUAUGCUACUGCCCAAAAGGCUAGCAGGUCAUUAUGGGAUUAAGGGUUAAGUAACAGCCACCUUGGAAAAGCCUUUCUCAGGAAAGGUGGAGAGUUUAUUUUUAAUUAAACUUUCCCUUUACUUAGACCUCCAGAGGCCCUGUGUCAUCAGUGGUGAUUAAGACUAGAAAUGAGAAAGACACAAGGUGGCCAGAUAGUCCCAGAGCCAAAAGCUUUUGAACUAUAGUCUUAUCUGCAACUAAAGGAUUUUAUAUUCUGCACUGUUUGGAGAAUGUAAGUAAAAUCCAAAAUUUUAUCCAGUGGUCCUAAUCUCCUUCCACCCAUAUUAUUUAGUGAAACAGGCUUUUCUGAAGAGAAGCAGCACAAUGCAAAUAUUUGAAUCUCUCUUCAUUUUCCUCUCCCUCCAAGCAAGGCACAGAAGUCAUGGUUUAAAGCAGAAGAGGGUGAAAGAGCCUUCCUUUGGAGUAAAUACAGCCAGACAAGAAGGGUCGCUGCCCACUACACCCAUUUGGGGGGCCACUGCAGUAGAACGCUGUGUCUGACUUGAAAACGGACACCUUCUUCCUAAUAUAAUCCAGCCCACGAAAUAUUCCUCUGAGUCAGCAAUCUCUUGACCGAGGGGAACAUGCUACAGAUCCUGGGAAAGAGAGUGAAGGAAAUUAGCAAAUGGCAGCUUCCUGCACUUUGCCACAAACAAUAACAAA